CCUACGGGUGGCUGCAGUGGGGAAUAUUGGACAAUGGGGGCAACCCUGAUCCAGCCAUGCCGCGUGUGUGAAGAAGGCCCUCGGGUUGUAAAGCACUUUCAGUGAGGAAGAACGCCUGGUGGUUAAUACCCAUCAGGAAAGACAUCACUCACAGAAGAAGCACCGGCUAACUCCGUGCCAGCAGCCGCGGUAAUACGGAGGGUGCGAGCGUUAAUCGGAAUUACUGGGCGUAAAGCGCGCGUAGGUGGCUUGAUAAGCCGGUUGUGAAAGCCCCGGGCUCAACCUGGGAACGGCAUCCGGAACUGUCAAGCUAGAGUGCAGGAGAGGAAGGUAGAAUUCCCGGUGUAGCGGUGAAAUGCGUAGAGAUCGGGAGGAAUACCAGUGGCGAAGGCGGCCUUCUGGACUGACACUGACCCUGAGGUGCGAAAGCGUGGGUAGCAAACAGGAUUAGAUACCCUUGUAGUC
rnacentral:rRNA from 1 species